ensembl:rRNA 5S_rRNA 5S ribosomal RNA
AGCCACAGCCAUAUUGCCCUGCAGGCCAGGAGCGGUUACUCACUGAAGCUGAGCAGGGCUGAGCCUGGUCAGUAACUGGAUGGGAGACUACAUGGGAAAACAAGGUUGCUAUUGCCA